GCCGGGCAUAGUGGUGUGUACCUGUAGUCCCAGCUACUUUGGAGGCUGAGGCUGGAGAAUCACUUGAGCCCAGGAGGCGGAGGGUGCAGUGAGCCGAGAUCUGCCACUGCACUCCAGCCUGGGCAACAGAGGGAGACUCCGUCUCAA
rnacentral:sRNA from 1 species